rnacentral:rRNA from 1 species
UACGAAGGGUGCAAGCGUUACUCGGAAUUACUGGGCGUAAAGCGUGCGUAGGUGGUGAGUUAAGUCUGUCGUGAAAGCCCCGGGCUCAACCUGGGAAUGGCGAUGGAUACUGGCUCGCUAGAGUGCGGUAGAGGAGAGUGGAAUUCCCGGUGUAGCAGUGAAAUGCGUAGAGAUCGGGAGGAACAUCAGUUGCGAAGGCGGCUCUCUGGGCCAGCACUGACACUGAGGCACGAAAGCGUGGGGAGCAAACAGG